rnacentral:rRNA from 1 species
CAACUUUCAACAACGGAUCUCUUGGUUCUGGCAUCGAUGAAGAACGCAGCGAAAUGCGAUAAGUAGUGUGAAUUGCCGAAUUCAGUGAAUCAUCGAAUCUUUGAACGCACAUUGCGCCCCUUGGUAUUCCAUGGGGCAUGCCUGUUCCAGCGUCAUUU